GUGGGCUCGUGAGCGGCGGAGGGUGAGUAACGCGUGGGAUAUGCCCUUCACUACGGAAUAGCCUCGGGAAACUGAGAGUAAUACCGUAUACGCCCUUCGGGGGAAAGAUUUAUCGGUGAAGGAUUAGCCCGCGUCUGAUUAGGUAGUUGGUGGGGUAAUGGCCUACCAAGCCUACGAUCAGUAGCUGGUUUGAGAGGAUGAUCAGCCACACUGGGACUGAGACACGGCCCAGACUCCUACGGGAGGCAGCAGUAGGGAAUCUUAGACAAUGGGGGAAACCCUGAUCUAGCCAUGCCGCGUGUGUGAUGAAGGCCCUAGGGUUGUAAAGCACUUUCGCCAGAGAUGAUAAUGACAGUAUCUGGUAAAGAAACCCCGGCUAACUCCGUGCCAGCAGCCGCGGUAAUACGGAGGGGGUUAGCGUUGUUCGGAAUUACUGGGCGUAAAGCGCGCGUAGGCGGAUUAGUAAGUUAGAGGUGAAAUCCCGGGGCUCAACCCCGGAACUGCCUUUAAUACUGCUAGUCUUGAGUUCGAGAGAGGUGAGUGGAAUUCCGAGUGUAGAGGUGAAAUUCGUAGAUAUUCGGAGGAACACCAGUGGCGAAGGCGGCUCACUGGCUCGAUACUGACGCUGAGGUGCGAAAGCGUGGGGAGCA
rnacentral:rRNA from 1 species